AAACAUCGCCUCUUGAAUAAAUAUAAGAGGUCCAGCCUGCCCAGUGACAAUGUUCAACGGCCGCGGUAUCCUAACCGUGCGAAGGUAGCGUAAUCACUUGUUCUUUAAAUAAGGACUAGUAUGAACGGCACCACGAAGGUUAUACUGUCUCCUUUUUCUAAUCAGUGAAACUAAUCUCCCCGUGAAGAAGCGGGGAUAAAAAUAUAAGACGAGAAGACCCUAUGGAGCUUUAAACUACAAGGCACUUGCCCCCAUAUAAUUAAAUUCCAGAAAAUCAUUACCACCCAGGCAACAUGACCUUUAGUUUUAGGUUGGGGUGACCGCGGAGUAAAGAAAAACCUCCACAUUGAAAGGAGACCUCUCCUUAGCCAAGAGCCACACCUCUAAGCACCAACAAAAAGACAUUAAUUGACCCAAUAUUUUGAUCAACGAACCAAGUUACCCUAGGGAUAACAGCGCAAUCCACUUCAAGAGCUCCUAUCGACAAGUGGGUUUACGACCUCGAUGUUGGAUCAGGGUACCCCGGUGGUGCAGCCGCUACCAAAGGUUCGUUUGUUCAACGAUUAAAACCCUACGUGAU
rnacentral:rRNA from 1 species